rnacentral:rRNA from 1 species
GUAUAAGAGACAGCAGUAGCCGUGGUAAUACGAAGGGGGCUAGCGUUGCUCGGAAUGACUGGGCGUAAAGGGCGCGUAGGCGGUUCACGCAGUCAGAUGUGAAAUUCCUGGGCUUAACCUGGGGGCUGCAUUUGAGACGCGUGGGCUUGAGUGUGAAAGAGGGUCGUGGAAUUCCCAGUGUAGAGGUGAAAUUCGUAGAUAUUGGGAAGAACACCGGUGGCGAAGGCGGCGACCUGGUUCACAACUGACGCUGAGGCGCGAAAGCGUGGGGAGCAAACAGGAUUAGAUACCCCGGUAGUCCCUGUCUCUUAUAA